UACGUAGGGUGCGAGCGUUAAUCGGAAUUACUGGGCGUAAAGCGUGCGCAGGCGGCGCGUUAAGACAGGUGUGAAAGCCCCGAGCUUAACUUGGGAAUUGCGCUUGUGACUGGCGUGCUGGAGUGUGGCAGAGGGAGGUGGAAUUCCACGUGUAGCGGUGAAAUGCGUAGAGAUGUGGAGGAACACCGAUGGCGAAGGCAGCCUCCUGGGCCAGCACUGACGCUCAUGCACGAAAGCGUGGGGAGCAAACAGG
rnacentral:rRNA from 1 species